UACAGAGGGUGCUAGCGUUGUUCGGAAUCAUUGGGCGUAAAGGGCGUGUAGGCGGUUUGCUAAGUCAUGUGUGAAAUCCCUCGGCUCAACCGGGGAACGACGCAUGAAACUGGCAAGCUAGAGUACCAAAGAGGGGGGUGGAAUUCCCGGUGUAGCGGUGAAAUGCGUAGAUAUCAGGAGGAACACCUGUGGUGUAGACAGCUUACUGGGCCAUUUCUGACGCUGAGACACGAAAGCGUGGGUAGCAAACAGG
rnacentral:rRNA from 1 species